CCUACGGGCGGCAGCAGUGAGGAAUAUUGGUCAAUGGGCGAGAGCCUGAACCAGCCAAGUCGCGUGAGGGAGUACUGCCCUAUGGGUUGUAAACCUCUUUUGUCGGGGAGCAAAAGCCGGACGUGUCCGGCUGUUAGAGUACCCGAAGAAAAAGCAUCGGCUAACUCCGGGCCCGCAGCCGCGGUAAUACGGGGGAUGCGGGCGUUAUCCGGUUUUAUUGGGUUUUAAGGGUGCGCAGGCGGAUUUUUAAGUCUGCGGGAAAAUCGUGGGGCUAAACCCCAUCCCGCCGUUGAAACUGGGGAUCUAGAGUGUGCGAGAGGUAUGCGGAAUGCGUGGUGUAGCGGUGAAAUGCAUAGAUAUAACGCAGAACCCCGAUUGCGAAGGCAGCAUACCGGUGCACAACUGACGCUCAGGCACGAAAGCGUGGGUAUCGAACAGGAUUAGAUACCCCGGUAGUC
rnacentral:rRNA from 1 species